UACGGAGGAUCCGAGCGUUAUCCGGAAUUAUUGGGUUUAAAGGGUGCGUAGGCGGCCAUUUAAGUCAGCGGUGAAAUUUUGCAGCUUAACUGUAACAGUGCCGUUGAUACUGUUUGGCUAGGAUUUGGUUGUAGUGUGCGGAAUGUGUGGUGUAGCGGCGAAAUGCUUAGAUAUCACACAGAACACCGAUUGCGAAGGCAGCACACUAAGUCAUUAUUGACGCUGAGGCACGAAAGUGUUGGGAUCAAACAGGAUUAGA
rnacentral:rRNA from 1 species